rnacentral:rRNA from 1 species
UACGAAGGGGGCUAGCGUUGCUCGGAAUCACUGGGCGUAAAGCGCACGUAGGCGGAUUGCUAAGUCAGGGGUGAAAUCCUGGAGCUCAACUCCAGAACUGCCUUUGAUACUGGCGAUCUUGAGUCCGGGAGAGGUGAGUGGAACUGCGAGUGUAGAGGUGAAAUUCGUAGAUAUUCGCAAGAACACCAGUGGCGAAGGCGGCUCUCUGGACCGACACUGACGCUGAGGCGCGAAAGCGUGGGGAGCAAACAGG